rnacentral:lncRNA from 1 species
CCCACACCAGGAAGUGGGGGAGGAACCCCUCGGUCACUCUGGGAGAGGCAGUUCCGGGAGCCACAACACUUCAAAACCUACAAGUCACAGAUUAAAAUAUGUGCUCUAUGCCUUUCACCAUGAAGGACCCAAAGUAGAUUAUUGAUUUCUUUGUUUCUAUUCAUAUGCUGAUAAAUAAAGCUGAAGAACUUCACAUAACUGUUCCAACUGGCUUUGCUACAACUUUAUAUGAGGCUAAAGUCCAAGUGCACCUGGCCUAAUGGGUUGAAGCUCAAAGGUUGUGUAUUUCAGGGCAUCUGCAUUGUGCAGACUUUGGGGAAUAUUCAUGGUAGACUUAAAAAGGUGGUUGAGCUGUUCCUUAGCAGCAGGAUAUUUUGUGAAUGCCAUGGCUCAUUAUAUCAGGGAGGACCUGGAGGAAGUUGCAAGGAGAAUGAGUCAGAUGAAGUGACUUCAAUGUUUCUAGGAGUUUCUAGAAAUGAUACUUUUUGAUGCUAGCUACACUGAAAUUUGUGACAAGUAUGCAGGACUGGUCUCCUGUCCCUCCUUUGGAACUUUACAUAUAAAUAUACAUAUGUGUGUAUGUAUCUAUAUCUAUAUCUGUGUAUAUGUGUAUAUAUAUAUAUAUAUCUCAAUUCAGUAAUCUUUAUAAGUCAUUCUGAAGUAUCAUCUCUUUUAAGAAUCCUUAUUAAAUCAUUUUUAUGUGAAUGAAUCCCUCUUUUCCCUCUUUUUCUGAAAUCUCUUAACAUUUA